UGAUAAUUUAGGUUGAAGAAGCACUGAAAGCUCAUGGCAUUGUUAAUGGCUAUGGGGAGCAAGUGAAAAUACCUGUGAAACUUCCUGAUUAUGUGCAGAUGGAGCCAGAGAGGUGUCAUGGACAGACCUUGCAAGAACAGCUUAAUACAUGUAAAGAUUCAGAACCUGCACUCGGACUUGAUUAUAUCAUUGAAUACCGAUCAAAAGAAAAUUCCCCUUUUCUCUAUGAAUUCCAACUGUGCCACUGUAAAACAGGACUGAGUAACAUGUUCAUGCAUGUAUGCGGUUCCAAACAUAGACUUGCAUACCUGAAACAACAUUAUCCUGAGAUAGCAGAAUCUGGUGAAGUUAAGGGUAAAGGCUCCGAACUGAACAGAAAAGUUAAGCAACUUGCAUUAAAAAUUGAGAAGAAAGAAGGAAGAAAACAAAUAAAGAUUGUUACAGAUGCUCCAGUAAUGAGGAAGAGAUGGCAAGAAUGUAAGUGUGCUCAGUGGGAUGUAAAUUGUACGUUUCUAAUUUGGGUAAAUUCCCUUUGA
rnacentral:lncRNA from 14 species